rnacentral:lncRNA from 1 species
AAAUGAAAGUGUCGUCUGCUUUCAAUUUGUUGAAAGUUUCAGUGAUUCAUUUUUUAAGUUUUGGAGAAAAGUCAGAAGACUAAAGAGAUGAAGUAUGAUUUCAAAGCAAUUGUAACGAUAUGUGGCUGCACGAAAAAUAGCAGUUCACAUCAAAUUACAAAAAAAUUUGUUCGUCGAGUAAACUUUGUGUCGUGGGCUCGUGGCUCUUUAAUAGAAUCGCCUAAAUCACACUCCAUGCUUUUUAGCGGGUAAAUAAGAUAAAGUUUACAUAAAAGAAUGCUUAUGGGAGCUUAAGUAAAACAGUUAAGCCUGUUACAAAGUUGAGAAAUGUAGUUCCUGUGACUAGCCUUUAACUGCAUUUAACUAGCAUUCGUGAUAUUUGAGUACUGAACCAUGCACAGCCAUCGUAAAAACAAGAUAUUCCAGUUUUGCUUCUGCUGGACCUGUCACCUCAGCAACAACCUCAGCAUCAUCAUUUGGAUAAACAGCAUCCCUGUUGAUUGGAGAUUCUACCCGAUGGCCGAGCUACGUAUCUCUUCCUUCCUCCCACUUUUCUUAAAAUGUCCUCGUGUACACUUCAUGUGAAUGUGGGUGUAUUCACGAGGACCCCCUUUUCUCCCUAUCCCGCCUGCUGGUGGACUCAACUUUUCAGCGGAUGGAUGGAUCACUUGUGGAAGGAUACCUGGCUGAAUUUCCAAAGUUCAAAAGGUUCAUUAAACAGCUCAAAGGACGACUACAGAUCAG